rnacentral:lncRNA from 1 species
GUUUGAGUAGAUUGCAAUAUGUGACCAAAAAGAUUAGUUUGUGCUCCUUCUCUGUUGUGCGCAUGACUUAUCCCCACCGGCUGGAAUCACAAUCGAGGCUAGUCGUGUGCAUAGUUAGUAGAUUGAGAUCAUGUGUUGCGGUCUUCUCAUGUAUAUCUAUCGCAUUGAUCAAUAGGAUUGAUCUAGUGAAAAAUGAGGCAUUGUGAAUGGCUCAGAUUUGGGUUGAUUUGAUCAAUCCGAUGAGAUUUUCACAACAAUUUCAUAGAUGCGAUCUAUGUAAUUCGGUGAGAUUUUUAGGGACUGUCGUUGCUAUCUGCUAUAGUGAUAUCCUCAUAGUAUUUCGGUGGAAGAUGUUUUACGCUUAACUAUUUUUUGCAGGGUAUGAUGUGAAUGAUACGACCUCAAUGUCAUGUGAUGAUCUGUGUGUAAUAUUUGGCAGCGUACGUUGCUGCAAUGGUCUUUCAAGCCAAGCCUGCCCUCGUCCUUGGCCUAGCAAGCAACCUCACAAGCAACUUGGCCCUUUAGAACAUGCCUUUGCGGGGGCGGUCGAUGAGGUCAAGUGUUGUCUUUGCCGAGAGGAACCCCGCUAUGGUGUGCGCCAGCUUGGCGACCAGGAUGACGUUGGUGAGUGUGAGUCUCCGAGCCGCCGUGAGGAGGUUUGAGCACUAUCACAUGAAGCUGUUGACGCUCGUUAUUGACACACUUUUAGUGAUAUUUGAAUAGUGUUUUUAUGCAUAUUCUUAUACUAACCCGCCACUUGGCACCUAAAAUAACCCCAUAUUCACAUAUGUGUUGUGUUUUGGACCAUAUUGCAAAAUCAUAGGAAAUA